rnacentral:ncRNA from 1 species
UAAAAUGCUAUGACGGGAAUACAGUAGCGUACAGUUUUUGACUUUCAGAGAGUCUGCGGCGGGUGAGAGCAGACAGCGGGCUGUGCGGCAAAUUACCUCCUAACAGCUUUUUGCCUGAAUUUAUCAGUAGGGCGAAACGUUUGCCUGCGUUAAAGGUCAACGAGGUCGGGUGCUUGCCCGAUAAACUGAGGUGGUACCGCGUAAAUUACGCCCUCUGA